ACUUAGUUAGAUCUAUAUUAUAUAACUUUUUGGUUUCUUGUUUGUAGCACAUUUCUUAAACCCAAAUUUUCAUUAUCGACAUGAUGUUGGUUAUAGCCCACGUUUCACAAACUCUCUGGCAACAGUUGUCGAACAAUUUAACAUAAAUGGAGAAAUUGCGGAUACAUUUGUGGAUGAGAUUGUAUGCUUUAGAGAUGCAAAGGAAUCAUUUGGGUCAACCAUAGCAAGAAAAACAAGAGAAACCAGAAAUACAGCUGAUUGGUGGACACAAUGUGGGUAUUUUGCACCAAACAUGCAGAAAAUUGCAAUGCGUAUUUUGGCACAAACGGCUUCUUCUUCUGCGUGUGAGAGAAAUUGGAGUAAAUUUGCUAUUAUUCAUACCAAGCAAAGGAACCGUUUGGCAUAUCAGAAGUUGGAAAAGCUUGUAUAAUGCUACUACAACAUGAAGCUGCGGCUGCGAGAUAAACAGGCAAAGAAUAAUGUGGUCAAUGAAAACAAUUAUAUAGAUCUACUUCAUGUUGCAAGCAAGCCGCUUGAUAAUGGCAUUGAUUCACUUCAUGAUUGGAUUAUGCCUGCACACCUCGAUGAUGAAGCUGGAAGACCUCUUCCACAAGUUGUAGAAACUGCAACUAAUGAUUGGAUUAUGCCUGCACACCUCGAUGAUGAAGCUGGAAGACCUCUUCCACAAGUUGUAGAAACUGCAACUAAUGCUGGAAUCAACGUAGAGAGAGUCUUAUCUGAAGAA